rnacentral:rRNA from 1 species
ACUCAAAUGAAUUGACGGGGGCCCGCACAAGCGGCGGAGCAUGUGGAUUAAUUCGAUGCAACGCGAAGAACCUUACCUGGGUUUGACAUAUAGAGGAUCGCCGGAGAGAUUCGGUUUGCCUUGUGCCUUCUAUACAGGUGGUGCAUGGCUGUCGUCAGCUCGUGUCGUGAGAUGUUGGGUUAAGUCCCGCAACGAGCGCAACCCUUGUCUCAUGUUGCCAGCACGUAAUGGUGGGGACUCGUGAGAGACUGCCGGGGUCAACUCGGAGGAAGGUGGGGAUGACGUCAAGUCAUCAUGCCCCUUAUGUCCAGGGCUUCACACAUGCUACAAUGGCGCGUACAGAGGGCUGCGAUACCGUGAGGUGGAGCGAAUCCCUUAAAGCGCGUCUCAGUUCGGAUUGGGGUCUGCAACUCGACCCCAUGAAGUCGGAGUCGCUAGUAAUCGCAGAUCAGCAACGCUGCGGUGAAUACGUUCCCGGGCCUUGUACACACCGCCCGU